rnacentral:lncRNA from 1 species
UCUAAAGGAAAUGGAUAUAAAAAGGCUACAUGACUCUUUAAUUUCUCAUCCACAUCCAGGGUAUGAAAAAGAUCCCAUUUUGGAACUAAAGAAAGAGGAAUCAGGGGGAAAGUUUUGAAGAGAUCUGUCAUGGAGGUGCAAGUACCCACCACGUGUCUACGCAAACUUGGGGCCUACUGUGAGGACUUGAGCAGCAGCAUCAGUCACUCUGAAGCAAAGGGGAGACUGUGGCUGGAGGACCCUGGGCCUUUGUGCUCAGUGGGACCCCUGCCCCACAUACUAGAAGAUGAAGUUAAUGCACCCUACAUACCCCUGUCCUUCUUCUUAUGUUUCUAUAAGAUGAAAUCAAACACUACUGACUUCCAAACACUAUACCUCCUAAGCUAGAUCUCAGAGAGUACUGUACAUCACAAAUGGUAUCUUCAUUUUAGAUUUUUAGCCACCAUGUUGCUUAAACAUGGCCGCCAAAGCCACAACUUAACCACAACCUACUCAAUCUAUAUGUUUAGUCAUAAUUUCGUGCCUGAGUUCCAGGCUUAUAACUACAACUUCCUGUUGAAUGUCUUCACUGGAAUGUUCUACAAUCACCACAAACUCAGUAUAUUAACAGACGGAAGCUAUUUGCCCCAAUAGCCUCCCCCCAACAAUAACAAAUAUCUAUUUUCUAUAGAGCAAGAUUCAGCCAACAUUUUUCUGUAAAAUGCCAGGUAGUUAACUUUUGUAGGCCAUAUAGUCUUUGCCACAACUCCCUGACUCAACCAUUGUAGUGUGAAAGCAUCCAUAGACAAUGUGUAAAGGAAUGCGUUUGGCUGGAUUCCAAUAAAACUUUAUUGAAAAAAAAACCA